rnacentral:tRNA from 1 species
GCGGCCGUGGCGGAAUUGGUAGACGCACUGCCUUGAGGUGGCAGCGGGGCAACCCGUGGAAGUUCGAGUCUUCUCGGCCGCACCA